rnacentral:rRNA from 1 species
GACGAACGCUGGCGGCGUGCUUAACACAUGCAAGUCGAGCGAUGAAGUUCCUUCGGGAAUGGAUUAGCGGCGGACGGGUGAGUAACACGUGGGUAACCUGCCUCAUAGAGGGGAAUAGCCUUUCGAAAGGAAGAUUAAUACCGCAUAAGAUUGUAGUAUCGCAUGAUACAGCAAUUAAAGGAGUAAUCCGCUAUGAGAUGGACCCGCGUCGCAUUAGCUAGUUGGUGAGGUAACGGCUCACCAAGGCGACGAUGCGUAGCCGACCUGAGAGGGUGAUCGGCCACAUUGGGACUGAGACACGGCCCAGACUCCUGCGGGAGGCAGCAGUGGGGAAUAUUGCACAAUGGGGGAAACCCUGAUGCAGCAACGCCGCGUGAGUGAUGACGGUCUUCGGAUUGUAAAACUCUGUCUUCAGGGACGAUAAUGACGGUACCUGAGGAGGAAGCCACGGCUAACUACGUGCCAGCCGCCGCGGUAAUAC